UGAUAAAAACUUCAUCCAUUUUUACUGUUAAAAAUUAGUGUAACUGACAAAAUAACUAGACAGUUAUAUUUGGCGUGCCACAUUUACCAGUUUACAAUGACAAGUUUUUAACGGUAGAAAUGGAUGAACUUUACAUCA
rfam:Gossypium raimondii Chr03_contig_1068, whole genome shotgun sequence.